CCCAAUCCAACCCCGCCGCCGGCGAUCUCCUCGCCCCCCUGUGCCGUCGCCUCCAACCUUCUAUUCCUCUCCCAAGGGAAGGGAAGGGAAGGGAAGGCAAGGCAAGGGAAGGGAGAGGGAGCGCCCAGAUCCACGGCGGCAUCAGCGCGUCGUCCUCGACCUGAUCCGCGUCUGUCCACGGAUGGGAGCUAAUCGGCACAGGAAAUCCCCGUCCCCGCGUCCGAGCCCCGCCACCCUCCGCAACGGCUCGACCGCCCAUCGACGCGCUGCCCCCGCGGCGCCCGACUAGUUCGGCUCUCGCGGCUGGUGGACGCGCCCUUGCUGUUGCCGACGUCGGCUCGCUGCGCCGCACUGGCCCUCACAAGCGUCUUCUGUCAAUGAUGGACUUGAGAGGUCAAGGAGUUUCCAUUGGGACAUCGGGACAUGCUCCUCCAUCUCCUCCGGUGGACGACAUCCAACAUCGCCAGUUCAUGCACUUAUGGACUGAAGAAAAAAAAUGGAAAUGAAGAAGAAAAGAAUAGCAAUAUUAUCAUAUGCGAGAAAGGAGUAAUCUGAAGUGAAUUCAUGCUAUGUUAACAGUCUAACAAACAUCUUGGAGGUGUGAAUGCUUUCUUGGGUCUGACAAGUAAUCAAUAAUUGAUGGUAUACUGGGAUUUUUCUCAUACUUCUAGCACUUCCUCAUUGACAAUAAAGCAAGUAGUAUCACAACAAAGGCUAUCCAGUUGUUUACCCCAAGAAAUGGUCUGCUUUCAUGGGGUUUAUUGAAUCCAGGAAAGAACUGUGAGUAGUAGCGAACCAGACAUGAAAAGUUUCAGAGAACUACGAAAACUCCGGGUUUGGGGGAGAUUGUCAGCGAGCCACUGAUGAAAGUCCUUUUGCGAUGACAAUGCUAGAGAAGAUUUGAAAGAUCUUGGUUGGCGUGGGGCAACUUGUGUAUUCCUGGAUGGGGGCGCCGUCCGGUGGCAGUGGGGUGUGGCAGUUGCCGCAGCUGGGCACAACCGGGAGUCCAGCUAUCCAGAACACCCAACUAUUUCAUCCGGUGAACUGCGAAGAGCUUCUGUGUGCGUCUCCGUUAUAUUUAACUACGACAGGCUUAUGUUAUCUUAUCGCGAACUCAUUUUUCAGUUCGUGCCCAACGUGACU